ACUUCUGCAUCUACAGAAGUCUGCUAUAAUUGUGUGAACCAGAAUUUCUGUUUCAUGCACUAAUGCUAGCAGAGUAUCACGUGGAAGGAGACUAAUGUGCACUGCACUGAAAAUGAGAUGUGGUCGAACCUCUUUCUUAAUGUUCAUUGGCCACUGUCUCAAGGUGACGUGCCACAAUU